rnacentral:tRNA from 1 species
ACAAAAGUUUUUGAUACUUUUAGAAAUAGUUUAAUUCUGUUAAAUAUAAGUAAUAAUGAAUGUAAAAAU